rnacentral:rRNA from 1 species
AUUGAACGCUGGCGGCAGGCCUAACACAUGCAAGUCGAACGAGUGGCGGACGGGUGAGUAAUGUCUGGGAAACUGCCUGAUGGAGGGGGAUAACUACUGGAAACGGUAGCUAAUACCGCAUACCAUCAGAUGUGCCCAGAUUGGAUUAGCUAGUUGGUGGGGUAACGGCUCACCAAGGCGACGAGCCCUCGCUGGUCUGAGAGGAUGACCAGCCACACUGGAACGGAGACACGGUCCAGACUCCUACGGGAGGAGGCAGUGGGGAAUAUUGCACAAUGGGCGCAAGCCUGAGGCAGCCAUGCCGCGUGUAUGAAGAAGGCCUUCGGGUUGUAAGGUACUUUCAGCGGGGAGGCGUUACCCGAAGAGGAAGCACCGGCUAACUCCGUGCCAGCAGCCGCGGUAAUAC